rnacentral:rRNA from 1 species
AAGCGCUCAUGACCAGACUUGGGCUUGGUUGAUCAUCCAGGGUUCUCCCUGGUGCACUCUUCCAGCCCAGGCCAGCAUCAGUUCGCUGUGGGGGAUAAAGGCGUCGGGCACGUAGCUCCUCCGGGAGUGUUAUAGCCCGGCGUGCCAUGCCCCCGCCCGGACCGAGGUUCGCGCUCCGCAAGGACGCUGGCGUAAUGGUCCCCAGCG